rnacentral:sRNA from 1 species
GCCAUUUGUUUAGAACCACAUUUCCCUGUCCUUACUUGGGCUCUCAACCAUCCCACUCUACCCAACCUUUACCCUGCCCCUAACUUUCUCCCAGCUCCAAGAUGGCAUCCUUCCCCCUAUCUUGUUACUUUCCGCACAGCCCUGUUUCCAACUGAAACCACAGGGCUGCUGAGUUCUGUGUGGAGCCCACAGGAGCCGGGAGAUCACAGCUGUCACUAGGAUCCGAUGCUUCCCUAAGUGUGUUCUCUCCUAGACCCUUCCCCUAAGGCUGUUCCUAGGAGGCAGCUAUGAAACUGAAAACCCCAUACAUUAGAGAGACUUCCACUCUCCAGAAGGGACAGAAGGCCGAGCAGGGAGCUAGCCCACUGCGAAAAGGGGCUCUGCCUUAAAGCUUCCACAGCAACAACAGGACCAGGGGCAGAGCCUGCUGUUGCAAGCGAUUAGAUGAGGGUCUGGACCUCAUCGAAGGACUUUUCCACUUGAAAAGCUACAGAAACUUUAGAAGGUCUGAAGAGCUCCCCACCUGCUUCUUCUUCAUGACCUUGAGGAUUUUCUUGUCUGACCGCUCUUUGGCUGUCAUCAGGCACUUGGUGACAUCAGCUGUCCACUGGAUCUGACUCGCCGUGAUCACCAUCUGAGGGUUUCUCUGUGUAGCCCUGGCUGUCCUGGAACUGGCUCUGUAGACCAGGCUGGACUAAGACAAUUUGAUUCUGAGACCUUGGCCACCACUCACCUCCACA